rnacentral:rRNA from 1 species
UACGUAGGGUGCAAGCGUUAAUCGGAAUUACUGGGCGUAAAGCGUGCGCAGGCGGUUUUUGUAAGUCUGUCGUGAAAUCCCCGGGCUCAACCUGGGAAUUGCGAUGGAGACUGCAAGGCUAGAAUCUGGCAGAGGGGGGGUAGAAUUCCACGUGUAGCAGUGAAAUGCGUAGAGAUGUGGAGGAACACCGAUGGCGAAGGCAGCCCCCCUGGGUCAAG